GGGACAAACGCUGGCGGCGUACCUAAGACAUGCAAGUCGAACGGAUUGCACGUUUUCGGAUGUGCAGUGAGUGGCGAACGGGUGAGUAACGCGUAGGAACCUGCCUCGACGUGGGGGAUAACACUUGGAAACAGGUGCUAAUACCGCAUGUGGUCGAAAGAAGAAAGGCUCGCAAGAGUCGCGUUGAGAGGGGCCUGCGUCCGAUUAGCUAGUUGGUGUGGUAAAGGCGCACCAAGGCGACGAUCGGUAGC
rnacentral:rRNA from 1 species